GAUGAACGCUGGCGGCGUGCCUAAUACAUGCAAGUCGAGCGAACGGACGAGAAGCUUGCUUCUCUGAUGUUAGCGGCGGACGGGUGAGUAACACGUGGAGAACCUACCUAUAAGACUGGGAUAACUUCGGGAAACCGGAGCUAAUACCGGAUGAUAUUUUGAACCGCAUGGUUCAAAAGUGAAAGACGGUCUUGCUGUCACUUAUAGAUGUAUCCGCGCUGCAUUAGCUAGUUGGUAAGGUAACGGCUUACCAAGGCAACGAUGCAUAGCCGACCUGAGAGGGUGAUCGGCAACACUGGAACUGAGACACGGUCCAGACUCCUACGGGAGGCAGCAGUAGGGAAUCUUCCGCAAUGGGCGAAAGCCUGACGGAGCAACGCCGCGUGAGUGAUGAAGGUCUUCGGAUCGUAAAACUCUGUUAUUAGGGAAGAACAUAUGUGUAAGUAACUGUGCACAUCUUGACGGUACCUAAUCAGAAAGCCACGGCUAACUACGUG
rnacentral:rRNA from 1 species